CUUAGCUGUUUUAUCGUCAUGUUAAAAUAUCGUCGUGAUAAAAUAAUGCAUCCUGAUCUGCAUUCGAUGAAAAUCAACAUAAUCGAAAUAACAACCCGAAUUGCUUAUACGACCUCUUUAUGAAUUUUAUCUUUAGAGCGUUACACUUUUCUUAAAGCUGAAACACUUCUUUCUUCCUUUCACCAAAGAUAAUAUCGCAAACAUUAAUUAUCGUAUCAAUGUAAACAUAAGUUUUUAAUUAUAAUUACAAAUGUAUUGCGCAUUUCCAUUAAAUAUCACCACCAAAAUGCACUUAAUUUACAUGCAAAUAUGUAUAUGAAAUUAAUAAUAUAUUGUUAACGAAUAUCACAACGUUUGGUCGAAAUAUGGUAACAUUGCAGUUCGAGCACAAAGUGCAAUGCACUGUUAAAGACACGAUCAAAACCCGACAAACUAUAAUACUUUUGCAAAAGGAAAAAGUAGAAGAAACGAACCAAGCAUGGUCUGUUAUCGCCUAAUAAUAAAAAUGUGAUGCAAGUAAAUGUGAACAGUGAUAAGUGUGUGUGUGUGUGUUCAAUUCAAAAAUUCUAACACUAAUUAGAAAAGUCUAAUAAGAUUUUCACAUUUUCAUUGAAGCACUAGCAUAGCUACUGUUAAAUUACGAGGCUACUUACUGUUAUAUAACAGGCAAAGCCAAGAGAAUGAAACGCACAAUGCCAUUGUACCCUCGCAUUACAUCUUCUCAUGUUUCCGAAGUCAAUUUCCAUAAUUUGUUACGUAUAUAUGGCCAAUAAUUUUUCAUAUUACACGAUAAACACGUUACUGCUAAAUAUAUGCAAGAUAGAGAUCGAUAUGAUUCAAAGAAAUCAAAAACUUCGCAGUAAUGAAUGUUAUAUUACUGGUAGAUAAUUACAGGUAUUUAUGUGUUAUGUUAAUAUCGCAAAAAAUAUAAAAUGUUUGGUAUAAUACUAGGUAUUAAAGUAUCAAAAACGGAAUAAUGUCUCAAACAAUUUAUAUUCAAAAUUGUAGCAUUCAGUUAAUUAGUAGCUUAUCAAAGCACAUAUUACGCAACAGAGUUAACAGCAGAAAGAUAAACAAGCAUCGAUGUCAUGAUCUUCUAUUUUUAUCUUUAAUUUUCAAGCGUUUUCUAUGAUGAGACCAUGAGAUCUAGACAGACAUGCACAUCAUGUUUUACAAUGUCAUUCCUAUAAAAAUAGCAGAUACACGAAUCAAAUUAUCCGGAGUUAACUUUCUAGAAAAUAAAUCUUCUUGAUUUGCUUCAAAUUCACGGGAAAUAAAAUUGCAGUCAUUUGAGAAGAUCUAUUCCCAGGACAUUCUACGUUUUCAAACUUAUGCGCGCGUGCAAUUCACGAUGCUUUAUAUUCUUCUCUUUCAACGCCUACUCAUCUUCAUGCAAAAACUGGAUGGAAUACUAGCCUAUGUAGCUCGCAAUAGUAUCGCAUAACAAAAGAUCCUGAUGCAACACGACUCGUGUAGAAAAUGCUUUACACUUUUGAAGCUAAUCCUACGCUACGAAAUACUAGUAUUCGAAAUACUACUAUUCAACGAUUUCGUGAUGCGUCCAACUAAACCUGAAGUAGUACGUAAAUAGUAAAAUAAAGUAUACAUCUAUAAGGUGUCCGUGUUGGACAAAGCGUACAAGUUAAUAUAAGAGAGAUUGUAUUACUCGUGUGUUGCGGUCGGAAGCAGAAUGCUGAGAAACGCUGCACCAUGGUUAUUAAGCACACUGUUAAUUUUACUCAGGAAGGAAUAAAGAGAUUGUCUAGUGGUAGUCUGACAGGAAGGGUUUCACUUCCUCGAGAACCAAUUUCCUGUAACUGUAACAUUCGAUGCAGUAAUGAAUCCUUGUUGAAUAUUUGAAUAAAAAUCUUUAUUCGUAUGAUAAAUGUAAUAAUAUAAUUGAAGCUCGAACUCUUUAGUGUUAUUAAAGACUGAAGAGCCAGAAACCAUACAAAACCGACUAUCACUGAUCUGACCUUGUAAGAUAACCUUCCAAAAAUAAUAGCACCAGAGACUACUUAUAAUUCAAAUUGAAGUACGAACGAUAAGUAGAAAUUGAUAUCGGAGCACAAACUGCUAGAUAGGUGGACAAUUUCAAUGCAGAAAUUGAAAUAACACAAUAUAUAGUUCUAUACGAGUUAAAAAGAUCUUGGAAGAUUUUUCCCCGUUAUCAAAUAAGAACCAAAGAAUUCAAAGGGCAAAGAAUCUAGAUUACACGAAGCUACCAGAAAGUUCAUUCUAACGGCAUUUGCAAUAAUAGGCUACAGAUAUGCUAAUCCAUGUUUUUAUGAAUACAAAGAAGAAAGCGAAACAGUUUGCAACAUACUUUACCAAAUCGGACGACAUCAUUUGGAAAUUCAAAACAUCUUAAUACGAGAGCAAACUUUAAAAAUCGAUAAAAUUAAACUUAUAAAUGCUUAUAAUAAUCAUUUCAUAGAUAUCAAUAGGAAUCAAUUUUAUCUAACGAUAAUAUAAUAUUACAUUAUAUUAAUCUGUUUGAAUAUAAUUUCCUAGUUAUUUCCAUUGCUUGUGGACAACAAUUCGAAGUUGGUUCAGCAGCAAGCGCUAAAGAUAGAAUGUGUGCAUUAUUUCUGCCUCACAUACUUUCAUUUUUGCAAUAUAGGAGUUGUUUGAAGGUAUGUUAAGAGCCCGAAGCAAAGAUCAUAAAUAUGCACAGCCACUUCCUUCGAAUGCCAGGUGACGUUAGGUA